rnacentral:rRNA from 2 species
UAGGGAAUCUUCCGCAAUGGACGAAAGUCUGACGGAGCAAUGCCGCGUGAAUGAAGAAGGUCUUCGGAUCGUAAAAUUCUGUUGUUAGAGAAGAACAAGGAGUAGGUAACUACUACUCCCUUGACGGUAUCUAACCAGAAAGCCACGGCUAACUACGUGCCAGCAGCCGCGGUAAUACGUAGGUGGCAAGCGUUGUCCGGAUUUAUUGGGCGUAAAGGGAGCGCAGGCGGUGACUUAAGUCUGAUGUGAAAGCCCACGGCUCAACCGUGGAAGGUCAUUGGAAACUGGGUCACUUGAAUAUAGAAGAGGAAAGUGGAAUUCCAUGUGUAGCGGUGAAAUGCGUAGAUAUAUGGAGGAACACCAGUGGCGAAGGCGACUUUCUGGUCUAUUAUUGACGCUGAGGCUCGAAAGCAUGGGUAGCAAACAGG